AGAACGAACGCUGGCGGCGCGCCUAACACAUGCAAGUCGAGCGCCUCACUUUCGGGUGGGGAGCGGCGCACGGGUGAGUAAUGCGUGGGAACCUACCAUGGGGUUCGGGACAACGGCGGGAAACUGCCGCUAACACCGGAUACGGCCUUCAGCGAUGGAGGCGAAAGGUUACGCCCUGUGAUGGGCCCACGUCCGAUUAGCUUGUUGGUGAGGUAACGGCUCACCAAGGCUGCGAUCGGUAGCCGGUCUGAGAGGAUGAUCGGCCACACUGGGACUGAGACACGGCCCAGACUCCUACGGGAGGCAGCAGUGGGGAAUCUUGGACAAUGGGGGCAACCCUGAUCCAGCGACGCCGCGUGGGUGAUGAAGGCCUUCGGGUUGUAAAGCCCUUUGUCGGGGACGAUGAUGACGGUACCCGGCGAAUAAGCACCGGCUAACUCCGUGCCAGCAGCCGC
rnacentral:rRNA from 1 species